AGUGAACGCUGGCGGUAGGCCUAACACAUGCAAGUCGAACGGCAGCACAGUAAGAGCUUGCUCUUACGGGUGGCGAGUGGCGGACGGGUGAGGAAUACAUCGGAAUCUACUUUUUCGUGGGGGAUAACGUAGGGAAACUUACGCUAAUACCGCAUACGACCUACGGGUGAAAGCAGGGGAUCUUCGGACCUUGCGCGAUCGAAUGAGCCGAUGUCGGAUUAGCUAGUUGGCGGGGUAAAGGCCCACCAAGGCGACGAUCCGUAGUUGGUCUGAGAGGAUGAUCAGCCACACUGGAACUGAGACACGGUCCAGACUCCUACGGGAGGCAGCAGUGGGGAAUAUUGGACAAUGGGCGCAAGCCUGAUCCAGCCAUACCGCGUGGGUGAAGAAGGCCUUCGGGUUGUAAAGCCCUUUUGUUGGGAAAGAAAAGCAGCAGGUUAAUACCCCGCUGUUCUGACGGUACCCAAAGAAUAAGCACCGGCUAACUUCGUG
rnacentral:rRNA from 1 species